UCGAGUGUGCACGAAAAUGAUAUAUCCGUUGCAGCUCUCUGAUGGGUACUGAAACUCCAACACAUUCAAAGAAAUUUUAAUAACACCACUACAUACACACAUACACAACAAAGGGUAAAAUGUGCAUAAACAUUUAACUCAACUCUUCUCUCAUACAGCACACUGAAUGAUAGAAAGAAACAACCAAAGUUCUCGUGUUUGAACAAGUUUUGUUUUGAGCUAUAUCAUGGCUGCUUGUGAAGUAUUAUUUUGCGUGUUUUAUUUAAUUCAGUGAUCUGCAGCCUAAUUAAAGUUUAAAUUUUUGAAGCGCGCAUAUUUAAAUAAGUAAAACGUAAAAUAAAGGUUUUCUAAAGCCAAAAUAUGGAAUUGAAGAGGGUGAUACAGAAAUAGUUCAUUGCACUGUCAAUUCGAAGCACGCAAUAGAAGCUACGCCAACAAUGGUCAACAUCAAUGGCGAAACCAUUGAAUACAUAUUUCAAACCUCAUAUGGCGCGUUAAAGGUACGCAAACUUAUUGGUGUCACUUAUUGUAGCAGCGUAGAACUUUCGAAGCGAUGGAAUAUGUGCUGCAAGCAAAUCCAAAACUAUGGACGCAAACGCUGCUACAUGGAACACAAAUCAUUCACACACCAGAUAUUACGUUUAAUGUCACUUUUUUGCGUGCAAUUAAACCUUUUGGUCAACACAAGCACGAGAAUUGGAACGACAUGGCGUGUUUCAACUGGGUUUUGCCAAUGAGCUAGAGGGCAAAGCAGUUUCAGUAUCUUUGAGCUUACCGGCACUAAGCCGUGCCAUUAGCAGCUAAAACACAGAAAUUAAAGGGAGGACUUUUUUGAUUCAUUUUCACCUUGUAUUGAGGAACCAUAACGUUGUUGUAUCGCUUUACAAGGACAUAAAUUCACCGAAAUUAGUUCAAUGGAAAUACUACAGCAAGAGCAUGGAUGUUAAGACUUGAACGGUGCCGUGUUAGAUUUAGAAUUCCUGAAACAUAAGAAACCCUCCUCCCAGAUGAAUCUAGUACUAGUGAAAUUAAUGAAAGAACAGAUCUUAUAAAAACUCCGAAAGAAACCAAAAGAGUCCUCACAUAAUGUGCGCAGCUUACACUUCCAGACCGCACGGGGUAUUUGACAUUUUCCACUCUUCCUCCAGCCUUUGUCCGAUAGCAAAAAUUGUUCAAAUAUUCAUUUUCACCUACUUUAUACAUAUAUAUAUAUAGUGU